UACGUAGGGUGCAAGCGUUGUCCGGAAUUAUUGGGCGUAAAGAGCUCGUAGGCGGCUUGUCGCGUCGGCUGUGAAAACCUGGGGCUCAACUCCGGGCUUGCAGCCGAUACGGGCAAGCUAGAGUUCGGUAGGGGAGACUGGAAUUCCUGGUGUAGCGGUGAAAUGCGCAGAUAUCAGGAGGACACCGCUGGUCGGAAGGCGGGUCUCUGGGCCGAUACUGACGCUGAGGAGCGAAAGCGUGGGGAGCGAACAGG
rnacentral:rRNA from 1 species